rnacentral:lncRNA from 1 species
CAUAUUUGGCUAUGUUUGUGUUCGAUCAUACAGUAUAAUAAGUCGGUAGUUGCCCGCGAAUGGAUUUUUUUUUUAAUUUCUUGUGACCCUUUGCAUCUUAUUUGUUGAUUGCAGUUGGUUUUUGUUGUGUCUUAAAUUACCCCUCACUCUUUCUCGCAAUUUGAAUGUUAAAUUUUCGUUCCCGUAUGUAAAUAACCAGCAC